GUAAUGUAGCUCAGUCGGUAGAGCGGUACUCUCAUAAGGUAUAGGUCAACAGUUCGAAUCUGUUCAUUACC
rnacentral:tRNA from 1 species